CCUACGGGUGGCUGCAGUCGAGAAUCAUUCACAAUGGGGGAAACCCUGAUGGUGCGACGCCGCGUGGGGGAAUGAAGGUCUUCGGAUUGUAAACCCCUGUCAUGUGGGAGCAAAUUAAAAAGAUAGUACCACAAGAGGAAGAGACGGCUAACUCUGUGCCAGCAGCCGCGGUAAUACAGAGGUCUCAAGCGUUGUUCGGCAUCACUGGGCGUAAAGCGUGCGUAGGCUGUUUCGUAAGUCGUGUGGGAAAGGCGCGGGCUCAACCCGCGGACGGCACCUGAUACUGCGAGACUAGAGUAAUGGAGGAGGGAAGCGGAAUUCUCGGUGUAGCAGUGAAAUGCGUAGAUAUCGAGAGGAACAC
rnacentral:rRNA from 1 species